rnacentral:rRNA from 1 species
UGGGGAAUAUUGCACAAUGGGCGCAAGCCUGAUGCAGCAACGCCGCGUGAGGGAUGACGGCCUUCGGGUUGUAAACCUCUUUUAGCAGGGAAGAAGCGAAAGUGACGGUACCUGCAGAAAAAGCACCGGCUAACUACAUGCCAGCAGCCGCGGUAAUACGUAGGGUGCAAGCGUUGUCCGGAAUUAUUGGGGCGUAAAGAGCUCGUAGGCGGUCUGUCGCGUCUGCUGUGAAAUCCCGAGGCUCAACCUCGGGCCUGCAGUGGGUACGGGCAGACUAGAGUGCGGUAGGGGAGAAUGGAACUCCUGGUGUAGCGGUGGAAUGCGCAGAUAUCAGGAAGAACACCGAUGGCGAAGGCAGUUCUCUGGGCCGUAACUGACGCUGAGGAGCGAAAGCGUGGGGAGCGAACAGGAUUAGAUACCCUGGUAGUCCACGCCGUAAACGUUGGGCGCUAGAUGUGGGGCACCAUUCCACGGUUUCCGUGUCGCAGCUAACGCAUUAAGCGCCCCGCCUGGGGAGUACGGCCGCAAGGCUAAAACUCAAAGGAAUUGACGGGGUCAUAGCUGUUUCCU